rnacentral:rRNA from 1 species
GACGAACGCUGGCGGCGUGCUUAACACAUGCAAGUCGAACGGAAAGGCCCUGCUUUUGUGGGGUGCUCGAGUGGCGAACGGGUGAGUAACACGUGAGUAACCUGCCCUUGACUUUGGGAUAACUUCAGGAAACUGGGGCUAAUACCGGAUAGGAGCUCCUGCUGCAUGGUGGGGGUUGGAAAGUUUCGGCGGUUGGGGAUGGACUCGCGGCUUAUCAGCUUGUUGGUGGGGUAGUGGCUUACCAAGGCUUUGACGGGUAGCCGGCCUGAGAGGGUGACCGGCCACAUUGGGACUGAGAUACGGCCCAGACUCCUACGGGAGGCAGCAGUGGGGAAUAUUGCACAAUGGGCGGAAGCCUGAGGCAGCAACGCCGCGUGCGGGAUGACGGCCUUCGGGUUGUAAACCGCUUUCGCCUGUGGCGAAGCGUGAGUGACGGUAAUGGGUAAAGAAGCACCGGCUAACUACGU